UGUGAGCUUUGGAAUUGAGUAUUCUUGAAUGUUUUUGAUGGCAUCGAGAGGGAGAAGAAGAUGACAAUUUGUUUAGCGAAUCAGGUAAUAUAGGAGGAUUUAGUUCGUGAUCCGAAUUUAGGAGCUAAUCAAAUCAAUUUCAGCAAACCCAUUUCCGAUUAUGUUGUAAAUCAAUCUCAUUCUUCCGGGAAUCCAAUGUUUGUAACUGAAUGCAGUCCUUUUUCGGGUUUCAACAGAUUCUGCCUCCUCGAGCUGAGAAUUUGUUCGCUUAAUCGCAUUUCAAUCGGAAUGUGUUAAAUUUUCAAUACCCUGUAGCAUACAAAAGAACUUUUAUGAAAACAGGGAAUGAAGAGUGAAUCAGAUUCAUGUUGUGAUUUUAAAAGAAAAUAACCAUUUAGAAUUUGCUUUUGGAAACAAAAACCCUGGAUAAACUCAAAGAAAAAACAAAUUACUUUGCAAGCAGAGAAGGAAGCAGACUCGUUUCAAGAAGCAAAAAAUCUAACCUUCAUGUAGGUGUCUUUGAAGGUAGCAGCGAUUUAGCAAAACAAAAACCACACCAGGUUGUACUGCAGCAGCAGUUGAGAGAGAGAGAGAGAGAGAGCGAGAGAGAGAGAGAGAGGGACCCGUUGCAUAUUAAUUUUUAUUAUUUAUUUAAAAAAAGUAAUAAAAACCUCAAAAAUAGUCCCUGGGUAGUGAAAUGACAAAAAUACCCCCUACUUAACGGCUAAAUGGGAACAGAGUGAGCCGGAAGGACCAAAUGUUAAAAGUUUUGAAACCACAGGGACCAUCUGUGAGGUUUUUUGAACUUAAGGAUUAAACUUGAUAUUUUCGAAAAUCACAGGGACCAUUUUUGAAGUUUUGUCUUCAAUCAAAUUUAUGUUGUAUGUAUUUGAGUAAAUUACAUGGACAGUCCUUGUGGUUUGGGGUAAUUUGCAUGUCUGGUCCCUAGCUUUUUAUUUUAACUCUCGGACGAUCCCUAGAAUAUUAUUUUGUUGUGCAUUGGCUCCCUCGUAGACAUAAAAAGACUAAAUUGCCUUUCUUUUUCAAAUGGCUUAGACUUGGAGACGAUGAGGUAUGUCACUUUGAGCGGGUGGCCUGGAUAAGAAUAGAGGGACUCCCUCUCAAAAUGUGGUGUAAAUCAAAUUUCAUCGCCAUCAUUGGGAGUUUGGGCAAAAUUAUGGCUCCCUUUGAUGGAAUUAGAGAUCAAGUAGACUUUUCUUGCAUCAAAAUUGGUUUACUCACUAGUAUCAAGAAGAAAUUAAACGAAGAAGUCCAAGUUAUCAUAGAUGGAAAAACCGUCUCGGUGGGGGUGGUAGAAUACGAAGAUGAACCCUGGUUCUCGUUUAAGUUCGAUUCUGAUGAACAACCUUUCGAAUCUGACAUAGAAGUCAUGGAGAUGAAUAACACAGAAAGACGGUGAAUAUGGUGGAGAGGACCAUGUCUACGACACCUGGAUAAAUGAUGUCGAAGAUGGAGAAAUUAUAGAGGUAAAUGAGAAAAACAUCUCUUCGUCCAAACACAAUCAAGCAAACAACCACUUUCCAGCGGAGGACGGAAUAACUCCGACAAUCGGAACUACAGAACCUCAAGGGACGAUGGGGAUGCCCAAGGCGGUGGCAGGGGAAUCGUCACCAUUAAUAAAAAAAAGAUUUUAACGGUUUCGGAACUAAUGAUCUUGAAAAAGAGAAUAUUAACCAUGCCGACAAAGAGAGGUUACGUUUCAAUAAAAAUCCGGAGGAUUCAAACAAUAUGGAGCAUCAAAAUAGAGCCACUACUAAUCUCAAACCCUUACCAUCUGAAUUUUCCCAUUGGGGAUGUUUUGGGCCUUUUCCCUCCACUGUCGUAAAUGCACAGAAUGAAAACCCAAAAUUUAUUGAUUUAAACCAAACAAAUAAGUCUGGAUGCUCUUCAGUAAAGCAGCGUCGACUGCUAAAUUCCUCACUCGAUAUUCCUAGGAUGACUCCCCUCAUAGAUGAAACUACAUCUACUACAAAAGAUGAUUGUGAAAUUAAUCAUGACUCGUAUUCCUUGCAAUUCUCCUUACGUAUAGUGGUUGCUCAUCCGCCCCGUCCAUGGAUCUUAAUCUCAACACUCUGCCUCGCUCUUCCAAUACUCUUGAGGUUGCCGUUUCCGAAUCUUCCUCUUCGGUAAACGAAAUUGAUGCAACAGCAGUAGUUGGGUCCAUGCUUGGUUUUGAAAUGGAAGCUAGUAAUCCUUUGCUAGCUGAGAUUCUUGGAGAAUACGGUGAGAAAAAAGAUCCUCAAUGAAUUUCUUAACCCUAAAUGUUUGAGGAAUUUGAGAGAAUCAUAAAAUAGAAUGGGUAAGACGACCAAAAUUAAAGCACAAAAUUACAUUCCUUGCUGUUCAAGAAACUCCACUAUUAGAUGCAGACCUAAUCGACGUAGCUGAAUGUUGGGGAUCUAACGAUUUUGGGGAAAACAGGGUAAAUUCAACUGGAAGGUCUGGCGACCUGAUAAGUGUUUGGGAUAACAAGAUGUUUAGCUCAACUGAGGUUAUUUCCUUCGGACAUUAUUUGAUUAAUAUUGGCACAUGGAUUGGCGUUAAUUGUCCGUUAAUUUUCGUUAAUAUUUAUGCAACACAAUCUACAACUGAUAAAGCUGCACUAUAGGGCGAACUUAUGAGCAUCAAAUUAGCGAAAUAUGGUAUCUGGAUCAUGUUGGGAGACUUUAAUGUCGUUCAAAGGCCAAUGAAAGAUUUAACUCCAUCUUUUUCACUAGAACAGCUAGAGAUUUCAAUCACUUCAUCCUGGAGACAGGACUUACAUAUUUGAAAAUAGGGGAUCACCAUUUUACCUGCUUUAGGAAUGAAAAUCUUAAACUCAGCAAACUAGAUCGGUUUCAUGUUUGCCCAUGCCUCCUUGAUAUUAUUCCCUCGGUGUCAGUUACUACCUUGCCGAGGGAGCUCUCUGAUCAUUGUCCAGUUCUCCUCUCUUCCUCUGAAUGAGAUUUUGGUCCCUCACCUUUCAGACUUUUCAACUCAUGGAUGAUACGAGAUGGUUUUAAAAAGGCUUUCAUCACAGCCUGGAACAGCUUUUGCAGGUUAUGGUACCCCUGAUUGCUACUUGGCAGCCAUGCCUGGAAUAGCUUUGCAGGUUAUGGUACCCCAAUAGAAGAAAUGGAAUCAAAAAAUCUCAUAGAUGUGAUGGUUCAUUUGGACUCUAAAGGUGAAAUCAGAUUGUUGAAUCAAGAUGAAAUCGAGACAAGACGAAAUGGUUAUCAAAGAAUUGUUAAACUCGAAAAAUGAGUUGUUCUUGAUGUGAAACAAAAAGCAAUAAUUAAAUGGGUCAUCGAUAGGGAUGAAAACUCUAGAUACUUUUAUGGGUUUGUCAAUAACAACAACCGAAAGAAUAGAACUAAUGGUCUUA
rnacentral:lncRNA from 1 species